UGUAAACCUAGCCCAGCUACACUGCUCAACAAAAAACUAUUCUCACCAUUGGGCCUGGUAAAAGACCAGAGGAAAAGUAUGAUAAUAAUAGACCCAUAGAACCACUAUACAAUACAACAUAUAGCAGGCCAGGUUUAUACAGCACAGAAGCUUUUCAAGAAAAGAAUACAUGAUUUCCUUGAUAUGAAAUAGCCUGGUCUGGUAAACAAAACUAGUAUUGUCCUAUAAGCAAUUCCUAUGCCUCCUGUCCACUACUCAUAACAAUACAACAUCUUUACAAUUUACAUACAUUUAAAACAUUAACAUGUAGUGGAAUAAUUGUCCUAUUGCAUGGCUGAAAAUACAAGUGAGUGGUGUGAAACUACAAUAAGCCAUUUCCAUGCUUCCGUUUUAAAACACCUACUCAUUCCAGGGUUUUCUUUAUGUUUGCCUAUUUUCUAAUAAUCACGAAGACAUCAGUGAAGACAUUAAAACACAUAUGGAAUCAUUUAGUAAACAAAUCUAAAUAUAUUUUAUAUUUGAGAUUCUUGAAAUAGCCACCCUUUACCUUGAAUAUAUGCUUUUGGGUCUCAAUUUAAGGUUAGGGUUAGGAAUUAGGGUCAGCAGUGUGGUUUAGGUUAGGAAUUAAAGUCAGCAGUGUGGUUUAGGUUAGGGUUAGAAAUUUGUGUCAGCAGUGUAGUUUAGGUUAGGGUUAGGAAUUAGGGUCAGCAGUGUGGUUUAGGUUAGGGUUAAGAUUAUGGUUAAGCAUUAAGGUUAGGGUUAAGGUUAGGGUUAAGCAUUAAGGUUAGGGUUAAGGUUAGGGUUAGGGUUGAGGGUUAAGGUUAGGGUUAAGGUUAGGGUUAAGCAUUAAGGUUAGGGUUAAGCAUUAAAGUUAGGGUUAAGAUUAUGGUUAAGCAUUAAGGUUAGGGUUAAGAUUAUGGUUAAGCAUUACGGUUAGGGUUAAGGUUAGGGAUAAAAUUAUGGUUAAGCAUUAAGGUUAGGGUUAAGGUUAGGGUUAAGCAUUAAGGUUAGGGUUAAGGUUAGGGUUAAGCAUUAAGGUUAGGGUUAAGGUUAGGGUUAAGCAUUAAGGUUAGGGUUAUGUUUAAAUCUGAUUUUAGAAAUGUUUGGCUGUGCCAGCUAGUGACCACUCUGCAGGGCAGACUCCAGAUUCAUGAUGAGAAACAGGUUGAACAUGCAAUACAUCUUGUCAACAGCAACCUUUAAGCAUAGUACCUUAUUGAUACAUCAAAUGUGUGAUUCGUCCUGUUUCUUUUUGUCAUAUCCCUUGUUGUAUGGUGUGUUUCCAUGUGAUUUAAUUUUCACAUCCAUACUGCCUGCUUUAAAAAGGUACAGACUGAGAUUCAACUUCUUGUCGUUUGUAAACAACAGAGUAAUAAAACCAUAUAUUUUAGGUCAUAAUAAAGACAGUGGUGCUAAACUCAUUAUAUUAUUCAGGAAUCAAUGGGUAUACAUCAAUCAUUGAAAUGACCAUUAAACAGCUUCUCAAGUCCCAGACUGACCGCUUUAGGUCCAGCUCUCCCUUCUCUGAGACUCUCCCCUCAGUCCACUCUGACUGGGAGGCUGGGUGAGAAAUAAGGCUGAAUUUCUGCUGGCCCUGACAGGACCCAAUCCCUCAUCUGCUGGGAUUUAUGGAAGAAAAUCAAAGUCGUUCAGCUCCUUCAUCUCAACACACACACACACACACACACACACACACACACACACACACACACACACACACACACACACACAC